UACGGAGGUGGCAAGCGUUGCUCGGAAUCACUGGGCGUAAAGGGCGCAUAGGCGGGGAGGUAAGUCGGGUGUGAAAUCCCUUGGCCCAACCGAGGAACUGCGCCCGAGACUGCUUCUCUUGAGUCCCGGAGAGGAAGGUGGAAUUCCCGGUGUAGCGGUGAAAUGCGUAGAUAUCUGGAGGAACACCGGUGGCGAAGGCGGCAUCCUGGACCGGCAUUGACGCUGAGGAGCGAAAGCCAGGGGAGCAAACGGG
rnacentral:rRNA from 1 species